rnacentral:piRNA from 1 species
UAUAUAUAUGGAUAUGUGGAUAUAUGU